CUCUACAUGUUUCUUGGAAUUCUAGUUUAUAGCUCUGAUUCAAGGUCAUUCCAGAGAAUGAUGUACUGUGAGUUGGAACAUUUUGCACGCAAACUGUUUCAUGUCUUAUUCAACUGCUGCCAAAACGGGCUUGUCGGGGUGCACCAAAUUGCGCAGGCUUUUAUUGCCUCGGUGAUGAGCAGUUCAACCAUGUCUAUAUCUCAAAUCAUGAAAAUGUGGAUUGUUCAUGCGACAGUGUCUUUCUUGCGCGCAAACCUAAUCAUCAACCCUGAGCGGUCAGACCUGUUUGUCGCCCAGCAAAUAUUGGAGGAAGGAGCUAGUGGAAGCAGCAGUAGCAGUAGCAGUAACGGUAUUUCCUCUUCAAACAGGAGCGGUGAAAGUUCCUCAGAGACGCCUAUGGCUGUGCCCACAACCUCUGAAAGCUUAUCACCUGAUUCUGGAUCGACCUUGUCGAAUCUAAUGCAAAUAAUUAGUCAGAAUGUAACUUUGGGAGACGCUGUACGCCUUUCCUGCGGAAUCCGAGUUUCAUUGGCCAAUGUUGGGAGGCAGCUGGAGGAUUUCUUGCGCAGGAGAUUCCCUUCCGUCAGAGAGCUCCAGCGAGGACAGUUGGUUAUCGACAUCAUUCGCAACUCUUAUGGAAUGCCCCAGCUACGCAUGCCUGUGCGUGAGCUAUAUGGAGAACUGAGAGCAACUGUAGGAUCAGUUUUGACUUUUGCAGACAUGCGAGAAGGGGUCGAUGCAGUAGCGGCUGUGAUGGAUGUUAUUGAAUCACGUCUAUACGUAUUCCUGGGCGUUCUGUUUCUCAGUCCGGACUGGGAGCAAUUUGAAGUCACCAUCCGAAGUGAGUUGAAUCUCCUUGUUCGUGAUUUAAUCACCACUGUUUACAAUUGUUGUGAGCGCAACCGUGAUGGAUUACUUCAAGUCUCUGAAGAUAUGCUGUCGGGCAUCAUCAGAUCAAAUCUGCCACAGCCUCUGAAAAUGUGGGUUGUGUACACAACGAUCUCAUACUUAAGAACAAUGCUGAGUUCGAACAUGCAGAGGUCAAGUGAGACAGUCAGAGAGCGGGCUGCCCAUCAGUCGUCGACCAGUGCGACCAUCUCCAGUGCUGCAGCAGCAACUCCUAGCAGAGAAUCGCCUGCAGCUGCAUCGGCUCCGGUUAAUGAUGUUCCUGUUCCCACCAUUCCUAGAUCUGCUCCUGCGCCUGAGCGCAUGGAAAGUGAAAGUAUUGAAGCAGAGCUCCCACCACUCAACUCUAGUUUACCGAAUGAGCCUUUACCAGAAGUAUCGAUAGGCUCUGAGGGCUGGCACAAUCACCUGCGUCGUCAGGAUCUUCAAGAAUGGGUGCCGAUUAUCACACGCGAUGCUCAGUAUCAACGUAGACAAAGUCCACAAAGACCAUUCAGCGAUGCUUAUUUAUCUGGUAUGCCAAACAACGCAGGCGGCUUAUCACUGCAACCAAACCACAGUCCAGUCGUGUUUCUCAAUUCAUUUCAGAAUCCCUUGAAAGGGCAAUAACCUCUGCAGACGUGGGCACUAGCUCUGUCACAAGCUCUGUAGUCCAACAUGCCGCUGUGGACCCAACAUUACGCUCUGCGUACGUACAACAGCUACGGUCAAGAACAGACCUAAGCUCAAAUCCAGAUUUUAACCCUAGUAAAUAUCCCAACGCUUCUAAUUACUUUAAGAAAAAAUAAGCGUUCUUGUAACAUUGUAAUAUUAGAAUCAAUUGUCUUAGUGUUGCAGACAGGGCUCAAAGGCUCGUGUGUUCUCGUUAAAUAGCACAAAUGCUGCACUGCAGGUACGUUUGUUGUGUAUGUGAUAUUUGUCUUUUAAGUGCCACGAUUUUAAGGAAGGUGUCUGUUUAACGGUUGAUGUAAAAUACUAACGAGAUUUUUGCAAAGUUCCAUCUGAUAAAAAAUUCCUACUUUGAGUGGAGAAACGUAAACCAAUAGUUACAUUGAAAGAGCCAAUGUUCCUAUUUUUUCUGCCAUGGUGCUUACUAUCAAUGGUAAAUCUUUUUUAAUUUUGCAUAGCACAGAGGAGCUUUAAAACUAAAUUUCGAGUGGAAAGUGAAAUUCUACAUUAUAAUUUGUUGUUCAAGAUCUUUACUUCGAUCAGCAUCGUUCUCAAUGCAAAAAUUUUGUUGUGUGAGGAACUGCACUAGUUUCAUGUAAACAAUUUAAAAUGAUGUAGUCAUAACAAAAUGCCAAUUAUAAACCCUAUAUAAACUCCAUCAAAUUCGGCGUUUUGUUUGUACUCUUAAUGUCGGUUGAACUCUUUUGUUGCAAGAACACCCUAUUGACUUCUCCAUCAUCAUUUUAGUAGAGUCUAGCCAGGUGAGCGGUAUUUCUGAUACAUGCUCAUGAUCGCUAUCUGAGUCUCCAAAGCAUUUAAGAAAUUUUCAAUAAUACUGCCGUAUUCCUCUUUUUUACUGUUGAUUUGUAUGUAGUAGUUGCUUGUUCAAUCCUGUGUAGAUAACAAAACGCAUGACUGCAGAGAAAUACUUUUGUGUAGUCAAUCACAUCUUUUUUUUUUUUUUAAAUGUGGAUCCAUAUCGCCGGUGAAAGUUUCAGCGUAGUUUUUUGUCCGAUUUGUAAUCACUCUUGCCGCUCAAACAUAGUAUUGCACUUCUAAGGCUGGCUGUAUUAUUUUUGGUGCCGGCCAAUUCCGUGCAAAAUUUUUUUAGUUGAGUGUGGAUAUGAAUUCACCUAUAGAGAGUAUCUUCUGUUUCUGACAUACCGGAGUUAAUAUUCAAAGCCCCCGGUUUCGUUUUGUUCUCAGCUUUUUCAUGGGCUGUCAAUUUGUCGGUCCUUUAAUUGUUAUCUCUGUGUAAUCAUUUUAAAGUGUUAAUCCAAGAAUUUCAGCUUCUUUAUUUGAUUCUUAGAGUUUUCGGACAGGUUUAAUCUAGUACCAACUAAUGAUGUACUAUUUAUUCAGUGGACUGCAAGGUGAAAAUUUCAAUGCCACUUUAGUACUAUACUUAUGUAUGUAUCAUUGUUGAAAUUUGGCUUUUUAAACAAGAUUUUGAAGCUAGUUUCUGAAAGUUUUUUUUUUUUUUUUCAUUUUAACUAAUUCAUGUAGCGUUGAAUGUUAUAAGAGGGUGGAAGAUUAGCAGCUCAUGUUUUUCAGCAGGGUGCUCACAGAUAAAGAAAAUCAGAAACUGUCAGGGAAUUUCAUCAGGUCAAGGAAAUCAGGGAAAAGUCAGGGAAUUUUAUGAAUUAGACUCAAAAUUCUGAAAAUACUGUCUGCCUUAUCGAACUGAUUCUCACAAUCCGUUUCAGGUUCAAUGCUCUGGAUUACCUCUGAGUAGUGAAUAGAGAAGGGUUUUUCUAUGAGGAAUUGAAAGAUUAAUCAAUAUUGAAUGAUCAAUACCUGAAGAAAAAAGGUUCAAUUUUUUUUUUUUUUUUUUUUUUUUUUUUUGUCAUUUCGUCUCUUAUAAGUUCCACACAGGCAAAAUGUGGAUGUGAAAAGUCAGAAAAUUUUUAUCAUUUUAGUCAAGGAGAACCUGGAAGUCAGGGAAUUCUUUCUUCUUGAGUCUAUAGAAACCCUGAAAGACCUUCAGACCAUUGCUUCUUUAUAGACAGUUGGCCCGUUUUUUUCUAAGUGUAGCAGUAUUUUUGCUGUCACAUCAACAGCUCGUUUGCAGUCUCUUUGUAAGCUGGUCAAAUUUUCAGUUUGCGGUUCUAUUUGUAGAAUUACCGGAAAGUGUCAUUACAAUCUAAACUUAUUUAUCUGUGAACAAGUUAAGAACGUAGACCAAAUUUGUACUCACAAUUUUGAUUUUAAGAUGUAAAUUGAUCCCUAGUGAUUAGAAAAAAUUUCUAGUGGUCAGAAAAAUUUCAGGUGUCUUACUUUCUUUAGAUUUAUGAGCAGAUGAACCCUCUCAAUUUUACUGCGUAUUUGUAUCAUUGACAUUUUUUUUAAUGCUCAUACCUUUUAUUAAUUUAGUUGAAAGGUCAAACUUUUUAACAGAGCUUCAAUAAAUUUUCACUUCAAUCACUUUGUCUCGGAUAAUUCUUUUUCGUUUUCACC
rnacentral:lncRNA from 1 species